rnacentral:ncRNA from 1 species
CCAUCUGGCUAGAGGAGGCAGCUGGCCAGGCUGAGAAAGUCCCUUUGAACCUGAACAGGAUAAUUCCUGCGUAGGGAGUGUGCAUUUUUUCUGUC